AUUGAACGCUGGCGGCAGGCCUAACACAUGCAAGUCGAGCGGAUGAAGGGAGCUUGCUCCUGGAUUCAGCGGCGGACGGGUGAGUAAUGCCUAGGAAUCUGCCUGGUAGUGGGGGAUAACGUCCGGAAACGGGCGCUAAUACCGCAUACGUCCUGAGGGAGAAAGUGGGGGAUCUUCGGACCUCACGCUAUCAGAUGAGCCUAGGUCGGAUUAGCUAGUUGGUGGGGUAAAGGCGUACCAAGGCGACGAUCCGUAACUGGUCUGAGAGGAUGAUCAGUCACACUGGAACUGAGACACGGUCCAGACUCCUACGGGAGGCAGCAGUGGGGAAUAUUGGACAAUGGGCGAAAGCCUGAUCCAGCCAUGCCGCGUGUGUGAAGAAGGUCUUCGGAUUGUAAAGCACUUUAAGUUGGGAGGAAGGGCAGUAAGUUAAUACCUUGCUGUUUUGACGUUACCAACAGAAUAAGCAACGGCUAACUUCGUG
rnacentral:rRNA from 1 species